GGGUCCGGCUGCCCUCUUCUGUUGCUUUUCAUGGCAAUAGACAGGGGGCUCCGCUGGGUUUUCAUUCAUCUCGCUGGUGCUUGAAUAGAGUGUGUUGGGUGUUUGGGCUAACAAAAUGUGGCAUAGUGUUAACGGAGAAAAAAGAAGUAAGUCAAAUUAGGAAAUCCUGUGGUCACACGAUGUUUUAAAGGGGAAUGGAUUUCAUAGCACAGAUUUUUUUUUUAAAUUUGAGUGAGUGCAAAGCAAACACAUGUAAUGUUUCAUGGACAUUUGCAGGUUAUUCUUAGUUAACCGCAAAAAAAAUUAGCUUUCAGGACUGUAUACAUAUAGGCUUUUCAUCUCAGAAGUUUAAAUAUUUAUACAUCUUUCAUUGGAGAUUAUCAGACCAUCCAGGUUCAGGAUAGAGGUUUCACUUGAUGAAGUGCACAUUAACACUCACAUAAUGUGGGAGGUGUAAAUAAAUGGGCAUCAUAAGGUCAUCUGGCAGCUGUAAUGAGCUUUUUCCAGAUACCAGAGGCACCGGCUGGACCGGCAUAUUGUGUCCAGUAGAGCUAGACCACCACAGUGUUUGGUAGAUCUUGUCUAGGAGUACACAACCCUAAUGUGGUGUAGAAUGCAGACACAGAAGGAAUCAACAGAUUUUUGUAAAAUAUGUUAAUAAAGUUGUGUAAAAAGGUUACAUGUUCUCUAAGCUAAAGCUGUAUAAAGGUUGCCCAGAGAGAGGGAGUUCCUUAAACAAACAAGUACUUCAUUUAAAUCACUCAACAUGGUAAUUAUACCGUGGUUAAGAUAGUCUACCUCCCUGCUCUGCCCUCACGCAAUACAGUGAAGUCUUGCUAUGAAAGCUUCUAAUGGUAUUUCCCCUUUGAAACAACUGAAGCAGUUGUGCAUUGUUGUUGCUGUUGUAUUAAUACCAUAAUACUACAGUUUUCUUUAUCUGAAUUGAUAGAGACAAACGCUCCACAGGAGGCUUGGAAAAUCCAAAUUGGAUUCUCCCUUCAAAGUAAUAUUUAUUUACAUCGCCUUUGGCGCAAGAACAACCUCAACUGCGAGCUAAAUAGUAGUUUUGCCGGCUGCUAUUUACGUUGGAAUUGUCCAGUACUUCCUCUUUUUAGCCCCAUAGAGGACAGUCCAUUGUAGUGUCGAGACACUUCUCUGCUUCUCUCUCCAUGUGGAUCCUCUGUGGCCCUUGCUGUGUCGUGUUCUUUCCUGUGAGCUGCUAAUAACCUGUGUCUGACCUGUGCUAUGCAGCAACACAACUACGCUACCCAUCAUGCCCCUCUCCAAGCUCCCCACGUUGUUGUCUAAAAAUGAUGCCUCCCUCUCACCCCCCCCCCCCCCUCAUUCUAGUAAAGGGUCGUCAUCUUUGCAAUCAUAGUUGUUAUUACCAUUAAGACCCCCAGUCUUUAUGAAAGGUGGAAGUAACAAAAUUUCAACUUUUUGGCGUUAUAACGGGCUGAAAUGAAACUCGAUCAAGCUGAAUAUUGGAGUAAUAAGGCAAUACUUAUAAAUCCCAUUGAAUUGAAUAAAACAGUGUUGAGUUGACAAGUGUGUAUCAGUACUAGUGCAGUGCCCUUUCAAAACAUGCCCGUUGAGAAAGGGCGGAAUACUUGGCCUGUGUUAUUGCUGCUUGCAGCUUCCUCGAGAACCGCUCAUACAAACAACUUCACACUUGACACUACACUUCCUUGGGUCUUGAGCAAUACACUUGACAGGACAUAGUUGCGUCACACACCCAAGUCACGGCUACUCACGGUCAGAAACUCUGGUGAAAUACACUCUGGUUCACAAGACAAAGACAACACACGGUGAAAUACACUUAGCGGAGGUAUUAAUUUCCAAAUAGGUGUAUUAGUCGCUUGCUUUGACAUAACCACUGCGGUUAUAAAGUAGAGCAUGGAUUUAAUUAGCGAGGGUAUUUUGUUGGCGGUAACGUUAUUAGUGUUAUAAGUUAGUAUCAAGUCUUACAGCGGGGAAAUACAGUCUUACUCACGGGGGG